UACAGAGGUCCCGAGCGUUGUUCGGAUUCACUGGGCGUAAAGGGUGCGUAGGUGGCCUAAAAAGUUUGAUGUGAAAGCUCAGGGCUUAACCCUGAAAUGGCAUUGAAUACUGUUGGGCUGGAGGUUUGGAGGGGGGACUGGAAUUCUUGGUGUAGCAGUGAAAUGCGUAGACAUCAAGAGGAACACCAGUGGCGAAGGCGAGUCCCUGGACAACACCUGACACUGAGGCACGAAAGCCGGGGGAGCAAACAGG
rnacentral:rRNA from 1 species